rnacentral:rRNA from 1 species
UGGGGAAUAUUGCACAAUGGGCGCAAGCCUGAUGCAGCCAUGCCGCGUGUAUGAAGAAGGCCUUCGGGUUGUAAAGUACUUUCAGCGGGGAGGAAGGGAGUAAAGUUAAUACCUUUGCUCAUUGACGUUACCCGCAGAAGAAGCACCGGCUAACUCCGUGCCAGCAGCCGCGGUAAUACGGAGGGUGCAAGCGUUAAUCGGAAUUACUGGGCGUAAAGCGCACGCAGGCGGUUGAUUGAGUCAGAUGUGAAAUCCCCGGGCUUAACCCGGGACUUGCAUCUGAUACUGGUCAGCUAGAGUCUUGUAGAGGGGGGUAGAAUUCCAUGUGUAGCGGUGAAAUGCGUAGAGAUGUGGAGGAAUACCGGUGGCGAAGGCGGCCCCCUGGACAAAGACUGACGCUCAGGUGCGAAAGCGUGGGGAGCAAACAGG